GAUGAACGCUGGCGGCGUGCCUAAUACAUGCAAGUCGAGCGAACAGACGAGGAGCUUGCUCCUCUGACGUUAGCGGCGGACGGGUGAGUAUCACGUGGAUAACCUACCUAUAAGACUGGGAUAACUUCGGGAAACCGGAGCUAAUACCGGAUAAUAUAUUGAACUGCAUGGUUCAAUAGUGAAAGACGGUUUUGCUGUCACUUAUAGAUGGAUCCGCGCCGCAUUAGCUAGUUGGUAAGGUAACGGCUUACCAAGGCGACGAUGCGUAGCCGACCUGAGAGGGUGAUCGGCCACACUGGAACUGAGACACGGUCCAGACUCCUACGGGAGGCAGCAGUAGGGAAUCUUCCGCAAUGGGCGAAAGCCUGACGGAGCAACGCCGCGUGAGUGAUGAAGGUCUUCGGAUCGUAAAACUCUGUUAUUAGGGAAGAACAAAUGUGUAAGUAACUAUGCACGUCUUGACGGUACCUAAUCAGAAAGCCACGGCUAACUACGUG
rnacentral:rRNA from 1 species